ensembl:rRNA 5S_rRNA 5S ribosomal RNA
GUCUAUAGCCAUGCUACCCUGAGCAAGCUCAAUCUCAUCUGAUCUUAGAAGCUAAGCAGGGUUGGGCUUGGUUAGUACUUGGAUGGGAGAUCACCUAGGAAGACCAGGUGCUGUAGGUG